CUGGAUACAAGUCUAACCAUAGUACAAUUAAGGUAUCUACUUUUUCUUUUCCUACGGAUGAAAAUUUAAAGAAAAAGUGGAUAAAUAAAAUACCCCGGAAAGAUUUGAUUGCUACUAAAAAUUCAGUAGUUUGUGCCAGUCAUUUUACUGAUGAACAAAUUAUUAGAACAUGGACUUCAGGGGUUGGUGAUAAACAAGUGUGUAUAAAUUUAAAGUAUCCAAAACUAAAAGAAGAUGCUAUCCCAUGCAUAUUUCCUGGCCCAAAAUAUUUAUCGAAUCCACAAACUAAAAGAAAGUCUCCUAGAAAGCGAGAUAGUUCAUUAAUCUCUUCUAAAAACAUUAAAGUAGUAGAGGCUGAAUCUAAAAUUUCUGAACAUCCUUGUAAUAAUGAUA